UAGAUUUUUUUUUUUUGUAAAAUUUUCAUGGAAAGUUUUCCCACCGUUAUUUCACAUUCGCGUCAGUAAAGAAUAUGGCUGAGGGUGCGAGUGCCUCACCAGGUGUUGCAGCCCUUGGGGAUGGACUCGCCGGGGGCGAAGGUCCUGCCCCUCAGCUGGCAGGGGCACCGCUCCUUCAGGAUGCAGCGCUGGUCGUGCAGCACCGUCCCCUCGGGGCAGUAGCAGCCCUCCUCGCACCGGUCCGCGCUCGCUGACAGCUCGUUCGCCGAGCCGCACGUCGCCACCACGUUGGGCGCGCACGAGGAGUACUUCCUGCCGCCGGUGCAGUUCACAGCUGCGGCACACAGACGGUCGCCGCUCACGACAAGCCCGGUUCCGUAAACAUUUUUUAUUUUAAGGGGUAACUGCUGCGAGCCCCACCACGGUACUCACACUGCCGUCCCACUUGACGGUGACUCCCAGCGCCGUCAGCGAGAGGAUAACAUAGUUCCCUUGGAUCUCCACACUGACUCCAGUCAAGGAGGCGGGGAUGGUCACUUGGCGGGACCCAAACAUCAGGACUGGAACGUCGUAUGCUGAAAGACAAAAUAAAAAAAAUUUUUAAAAAAUUAGGACGUCUCCCCCCCUGCGCACCUGAGAACGCGGCCGUCGAACGUCUUGUAGUGGUCCCCGGACCAGGUGCAGCAGACGCCCGGGGAGGGCAG